rnacentral:rRNA from 1 species
UACGUAGGUGACAAGCGUUGUCCGGAUUUACUGGGCGUAAAGAGCGCGCAGGCGGUCGAUCAAGUCGGAUGUGAAAGCCCCCGGCUCAACUGGGGAGGGUCAUUCGAUACUGGUCGACUCGAAGGCAGGAGAGGGAAGCGGAAUUCCCGGUGUAGUGGUGAAAUGCGUAGAUAUCGGCAGGAACACCCAGGGGGAAACCAGCCGACUGGGCAUCUGCUGACGCUGAGGUGCGAGAGCGUGGGGAGCGAACAGG